rnacentral:rRNA from 1 species
GACGAACGCUGGCGGCGUGCUUAACACAUGCAAGUCGAACGGAAAGGCCCUGCUUGCAGGGUACUCGAGUGGCGAACGGGUGAGUAACACGUGGGUGAUCUGCCCUGCACUUCGGGAUAAGCCUGGGAAACUGGGUCUAAUACCGGAUAGGAGCCAUUUUUAGUGUGAUGGUUGGAAAGUUUUUUCGGUGUAGGAUGAGCUCGCGGCCUAUCAGCUUGUUGGUGGGGUAAUGGCCUACCAAGGCGGCGACGGGUAGCCGGCCUGAGAGGGUGGACGGCCACAUUGGGACUGAGAUACGGCCCAGACUCCUACGGGAGGCAGCAGUGGGGAAUAUUGCACAAUGGGCGCAAGCCGGAUGCAGCGACGCCGCGUGGGGGAUGACGGCCUUCGGGUUGUAAACUCCUUUAGCUAGGGACGAAGCUUUUUGUGACGGUACCUAGAUAAGAAGCACCGGCUAACUACGUG